rnacentral:rRNA from 2 species
GUCUGACGGAGCAACGCCGCGUGAGUGACGAAGGCCUUCGGGUCGUAAAGCUCUGUUGUUAGGGAAGAACAAGUACCGUUCGAAUAGGGCGGUACCUUGACGGUACCUAACCAGAAAGCCACGGCUAACUACGUGCCAGCAGCCGCGGUAAUACGUAGGUGGCAAGCGUUGUCCGGAAUUAUUGGGCGUAAAGCGCGCGCAGGCGGUCUCUUAAGUCUGAUGUGAAAGCCCACGGCUCAACCGUGGAGGGCCAUUGGAAACUGGGGGACUUGAGUGCAGAAGAGGAGAGUGGAAUUCCACGUGUAGCGGUGAAAUGCGUAGAUAUGUGGAGGAACACCAGUGGCGAAGGCGGCUCUCUGGUCUGUAACUGACGCUGAGGCGCGAAAGCGUGGGGAGCAAACAGGAUUAGAUACCCUGGUAGUCCACGCCGUAAACGAUGAGUGCUAGGUGUUGGGGGGUUCCACCCUCAGUGCUGAAGUUAACACAUUAAGCACUCCGCCUGGGGAGUACGACCGCAAGGUUGAAACUCAAAGGAAUUGACGGGGGCCCGCACAAGCAGUGGAGCAUGUGGUUUAAUUCGAAGCAACGCGAAGAACCUUACCAGGUCUUGACAUCCUCUGCCACUCCUAGAGAUAGGACGUUCCCCUUCGGGGGACAGAGUGACAGGUGGUGCAUGGUUGUCGUCAGCUCGUGUCGUGAGAUGUUGGGUUAAGUCCCGCAACGAGCGCAACCCUUGAUCUUAGUUGCCAGCAUUCAGUUGGGCACUCUAAGGUGACUGCCGGUGACAAACCGGAGGAAGG